rnacentral:lncRNA from 1 species
AGCAGGAAAUAUAAUCCUGCCUUAUGACGUCAGAGCACUGAGGGAUAUAUAAAGGCAGUCAGCGGCAGGUCUCUUGCACCAUUGGAAGCGAGACAUCUGCAUCCAGAAGCAGCUCUUAUUUAAUAAGAACUUCCACUGAACAAUCAUUUUGUGUUUGUUGAAAAAUCUUCGACUUAAACUGACGCCUACACCUCGCUUCACUGAGGAAGCAUUGUCACGAGUUUCGCAGAGAAGCCCGCUUCCGCAAACACAAUGAAGCAGUUCGACAAAGCCGAUCCUAGCUCACUGCUUUCGCAGAUGCAGCGGAGAUCCACGCCUGUGACCAAGGAAUCCCGAGAGAGCUCCCCCAACCUGACGCACUCUAUCAAGGGCCUCUGGGGCUCCUGGAUGAACGCCGGAAGCGAUUCUGUGGGACACCAGAAGAGAAUCGUUUACCCAGGGACGUGGAACCAAGAUCUAACAUUGUCGAGAAGUUAAUAAACGGAAAACUUCAUCAUCGACUACGAUGACUAAAAAGUAACCGAAAAAAGAGCCGGCAUGACGCCUGGCUGUAAUCUGUGGGAAGUCUGUGCACUUCUCGAAGGCUGCCGGUCGAGUAAUGAGGAUCUCCCAGUGAAUAGCCGAAUGAAAAUAAUAACCCGAGCGAGAAGAAAGGCCCGAAGGAGGAUCAUGCAGUGCGCCUGAGCAUAACCAACAUGGAUUUUUUUAAUGCGGCGCCCUUGUCCUCAAAAGAUUAUUUUCUACUCUCUAUUACUAUGGCAGAAAAGAUUGCUGAAAAAUCAUGUACGAUAAUUUGUGCAUCGAUAGUGUUGUAUCACAUUCGCUUAGUUGUCAAUGUUAUAUUUCUGAUAUUCAUUUAUAUUAAAUGUGUAAUGUAUGAUACCAUGUAAUACGACUGAUUUUUUGUUUUACUAGUUUUAUUUUUGCACAAAUGUGCUUCCAUACUUCUGGCUAUUAUACGGUCAAAUAUAAUAGAAGCAAC